UACGGAGGAUGCAAGCGUUAUCCGGAAGGAUUGGGCGUAAAGCGUCCGCAGGUGGCAAUGUAAGUCUGCUGUCAAAGCGUCUGGCUCAACCAGAUAAAGGCAGUGGAAACUACAUAGCUAGAGUAAGGUAGGGGUAGAGGGAAUUCCUGGUGUAGCGGUGAAAUGCGUAGAGAUCAGGAAGACCACCGGUGGCGAAAGCGCUCUGCUAGGCCGCAACUGACACUCAUGGACGAAAGCUAGGGGAGCGAAUGGG
rnacentral:rRNA from 1 species